rnacentral:rRNA from 1 species
CGACCGGCGCACGGGUGAGUAACACGUAUCCAACCUGCCCUUUACUCGGGGAUAGCCUUUCGAAAGAAAGAUUAAUACCCGAUAGCAUAAUGAUUCCGCAUGGUUUCAUUAUUAAAGGAUUCCGGUAAAGGAUGGGGAUGCGUUCCAUUAGGUUGUUGGUGAGGUAACGGCUCACCAAGCCUUCGAUGGAUAGGGGUUCUGAGAGGAAGGUCCCCCACAUUGGAACUGAGACACGGUCCAAACUCCUACGGGAGGCAGCAUG